GACGAACGCUGGCGGCGUGCCUAAUACAUGCAAGUCGAACGCUGAAGGAGGAGCUUGCUUCUCUGGAUGAGUUGCGAACGGGUGAGUAACGCGUAGGUAACCUGCCUGGUAGCGGGGGAUAACUAUUGGAAACGAUAGCUAAUACCGCAUAAUAGUAGAUGUUGCAUGACAUUUGCUUAAAAGGUGCAAUUGCAUCACUACCAGAUGGACCUGCGUUGUAUUAGCUAGUUGGUGAGGUAACGGCUCACCAAGGCAACGAUACAUAGCCGACCUGAGAGGGUGAUCGGCCACACUGGGACUGAGACACGGCCCAGACUCCUACGGGAGGCAGCAGUAGGGAAUCUUCGGCAAUGGACGGAAGUCUGACCGAGCAACGCCGCGUGAGUGAAGAAGGUUUUCGGAUCGUAAAGCUCUGUUGUAAGAGAAGAACGAGUGUGAGAGUGGAAAGUUCACACUGUGACGGUAUCUUACCAGAAAGGGACGGCUAACUACGU
rnacentral:rRNA from 1 species